GACGGGCCCGCACAAGCAGCGGAGCGUGUGGUUUAAUUCGAUGUUACACGAAGAACCUUACCAGGGUUUGACAUGCAAGUGGUAGGAAACCGAAAGGUGACCGACCCUUCGGGGAGCUUGCACAGGUGCUGCAUGGCUGUCGUCAGCUCGUGUCGUGAGAUGUUCGGUUAAGUCCGCUAACGAGCGCAACCCUCGCUGUGUGUUAUAUGUGUCACACGGGACUGCCGGUCUUAAGCCGGAGGAAGGUGGGGAUGAUGUCAAGUCAGCAUGGCCUUUAUAUCCUGGGCUACACACACGCUACAAUGGCCAACACAAUAGGUUGCUAAGCCGCGAGGUGGCGCCAAUCCAUAAAGUUGGUCUCAGUUCAGAUUGUAGGCUGCAACCCGCCUGCAUGAAGAUGGAGUUGCUAGUAACCGCAGGUCAGCUAUACUGCGGUGAAUACGUUCCCGGGGCUU
rnacentral:rRNA from 1 species